GAAAUGCGAUAAGUAGUGUGAAUUGCAGAAUUCAGUGAAUCAUCGAAUCUUUGAACGCACAUUGCGCCCCUCGGUAUUCCGUGGGGCAUGCCUGUUCGAGCGUCAUCUACACCCUCAAGCUCUGCUUGGUGUUGGGCGUCUGUCCCGCCUCCUCGCGCGCGGACUCGCCCCAAAUCCAUUGGCGGCGGCCCUUGCCUCCCUCUCGCGCAGCACAUUGCGCUUCUCGAGGCGCGGCGGACCGCGUCCAGCAAGCAACCGUCACACCGUCUUUGACCUCGGAUCAGGUAGGGAUACCCGCUGAACUUAAGC
rnacentral:misc_RNA from 1 species